rnacentral:rRNA from 1 species
UACGGAGGAUCCGAGCGUUAUCCGGAUUUAUUGGGUUUAAAGGGAGCGUAGGUGGAUUGUUAAGUCAGCGGUCAAAUCGUGGGGCUCAACCCCAUCCAGCCGUUGAAACUGGCAGUCUUGAGUACAGUAGAGGUGGGCGGAAUUCGUGGUGUAGCGGUGAAAUGCUUAGAUAUCACGAAGAACUCCGAUUGCGAAGGCAGCUCACUGGACUGCAACUGACACUGAGGCUCGAAAGUGUGGGUAUCAAACAGG